GGGAGCGUCACUUAGAACGAACCCGGCGCUGUCAUGGCUGCCUGACAACUGCACGGUGCAGCCAAAGUGUAAGCGGCCUGACCACAGCAGCGGUGCCGUAAGGUGCAGACUUUUGCUGGAGCUACGAGCCUGGGCGUUAGUACAGAAAGAGUUUCGGGCUUAGUUCUUGGGUGUAGUUUUGCCGAAGGUGUUAGGCGUGAGGCCGGGGGAGAGCGGGCAGGGCCCGGCUUUUACUGUCUAGGACAUGGGGAGGGAACCCUGAGCUGGAGCUGGAAUACCGUGGGCCCGGACAGGUGGAGGGGGCUUAGAGGUGACUCGUGGGAAUCUAUGGAGAGGGCUUGUCUUCUGUGUCCCUUACUGAGCUAGCUCUCAGUUAUCCUCCAUCAAAGUCUGGCAGGCAUACAGGAAGGCAGAACGAGCAGACAGUUUAGAUGUGGGAGCAGUCUGGACCAUGCCAUCAUCUUAUGUCAGUGAUGGGUAACUUUUAGCACCCCCUCCUCGGUUGUGGGGUACAGUUCUCAAUCUUUUAUGCUCGGUUAGCCAGUGGCCUAGCUGAGCACUAAAGGAAUUGUAGCCUACAACAUCAACGGUUAGUCAUCAUUGAUUAAAUAUUAAUGCGAUCGUGUUUACCAUUAACAGGAAUAAAAUAAAGGAUUAUUCUGUGAACUCAAUGCACUAUGAUUUUAAUCCGUGUAAUCGAGAUAUAGACAUUGUGUCCAAUUAAACUUGAGUUUAUAUUUUUCUUAUACUCCCUCUACAUUGCCCCAAAUAUUGUUAACAUUCAGCUUUUGUCUUGUUUUUUGUUUUUGUUUUCUUCAAUUUUUUUUUUGUUUAUGUAAAUCUACUAAGUUUGAAAUAUGACUGUGAAAGUCUUCAGCUCGUUGUAUGUGGAUUUUCAGUAUAUUAAUCCCCUUGCAAAUAAUGCUAGUGUUAGAAAACCUAGCAUAUUAGUGCUAUUUUGUGAAAUGGUUUGAGUGGUUCUGUGCUUUUCUCUUGACAGAUCUUAAAUUAUAAAUCUAGUAUGGCAGGAGAACAGAAGCCAUCCAGUAGCCUCCUGGAGCAGUUUAUUUUACUAGCCAAGGGCACAAAAGGAUCAGCACUUCCAGCACUUAUAAACCAAGUAUUAGAAGCUCCUGGUGUUUAUGUAUUUGGAGAACUUUUAGAUUUACCUACAGUGCAAGAG